CUGGCGGGGUGGGGGGGGAGGGCCGGGAUGGGCUGGAGCCCUGGUGCCCAAGUGCCCAGGUGGGCCUCGGAGGGAGGCUGUGUCAAACCACGAAUCUGUCAUUAAACUAAACCGUGCAGACCUGAGCAGGGGGCAGGCUGCGGACUCGGACAGGCAUGGGGCUCCAUCCCAUGGACGGGACACGUGGUGAAGCCACUGUCUGGGUUCAGUGUGGGCCAGUUUGGACCCCUGGGCCACUGCUGUGGUCCUUGGGGCAGCAGGGAUGACGAGGGAUGGGGGUGCUGCGGGUGGGUGGCUCACCUCUGGGUUGCAAUCGCUCCCCUCUGUCCUCUUCUGUCCCUCCCAUGUGGGGUCUUCCUGGACACGGGGACCUCAGCAGGGGAGGGGGAAUGCCCCAGAUAGCUGCAAGUGAGGUGACCCCUUGGCCUUCUAGGAACCAGCAGCUCUGGCCAUCUCUUCCCUCCCUCUGCCCAGAGCCAGGGCAGCUGGGACCUCUUGUCCAACCUGGUGCCCACAGGCCUCCCACCGUGGUCCCCACCCUGGUCUGCAGGGGAUGAGGGGGUCUCGGAGGGCAGGUGCCUGUGGACUGUGCUAGGUGGAUCCACGGUUUGACCCAUGCUGCAGCAAGAGUGAAAGUGGGGGACCCCGGGUCCAUCGGGGCAGGACGGCAGCCCACCCUAUCCCACCAACACCCAGGGGCCCACGCUGGGCAUAUAGCCAAUGGAGUAGAGGAACAGGUGCCGGAGCCAGGUCACCUGCUGGCCUGGACAAUCGCAGACACUGUGCGUGGACGGGAGCCUAGCCCCCGCCUCUCAGGUGUGGCUGUCACAGCGACUUCCUGCCCGAGACCGCGGGAUGGAAGGCUGCACCUGACGCACGCCCCAGCCUGGUGAGCAAGGCCAGCAUCAUGGGCACGAGUCAGGUGGGGAGCACGGGCCGGGACGCGAUGCGGUGGGGAGGGUGCUUCACGCUGGGGUCCUGCCCCCAAGCCCACAGCCCAGUCUGACCGUGACGCACGCACCAGACGAACCCCAUCUGAGGGGCAUCCUUACAGUGUGCCGACCUGUUCCCCUCGGAACUGUCCGGGUCAUCACAAACUCACAGACACGAGGACCCAACGUCCUGUGGUGCCCUGCGUGGGAACCUGGGACAGAAACAGGCUAGGAAGGAACAACUGAGACGCUCGGAAUACAGUGUGGGCUUCCAUGGACGGUAAUGGGUCAAUAGCCACGGAUUUGUUGUGACACGUCCCAUACCCGUGUCAGAUGUUGGUAUGAGGAAGCUGGGUGUGGGUACAUGUGAAUUCUCCGUACUGCCUCUGCACUGGCUCUCUAAGUCUAAACUGUCCUACAAGACGUUUUAUUUAAAACCGUGAUUUUGUCCAGCACCCCAGCCUCACAGCACAGAGGGGAGCAGGCACUUUGGAGCUGGCUCUGCUGUCCACUCACUCAGUGAUGUCGACUACCUAUCUGCCCUCCUGUCCACCUGCCCGCCUGCCCACCUGCCUGCCUGCCCGCCUGCCUGCCUGCCCGCCUGUCCGCCUGUCCGCCUGUCCGCCUGUCCGCCUGUCCACCUGUCCACCUGCGCCUUCACCCACCCACCCUUCAUUCACUCGCCCCCUCUCACACCCUUUCAUUUUGUUAAUUCUUGAAGCUCUUCCCUUGCUCACUUGCUCCCACCUGCCCUCUGCCUGCUGCCUCAGUUUACCUAGGAAGGGCGGUAGGGAUGCUGGCACCGAAGCAGGUCCUUAGCACUUGGAGGUCACUCUGCCUGGGCCGGGAGGUGGCAGCCUCUCCCCUCCGUCCUGACAGCCAUCCAAAGGGAGCUCUGCGAGAGGCGCCCCCUACUCCAUCAGCAGAGGCCGGGGGCGGGGCAGCAGAGCGGACUUGCCCACCCAGGAAGAGAAGCAGGUUAGCACCUCAGUGCGCCCAGGGCACCGGUGACUCGUCACCUCCAUGCAGCCCUGUGUGUGGGGCUCUGCCGGCUGGGCCCCUCACCGGGGUGGGGCUGAGUGCCAUGAGCUUUGUGGGGGCCACACGGGGGCCUGAACAGCCUCUGGCCUUCUCUCCGCCCUUUGCCCUGAUUCUGAACUGUCUCCCAGAAGCCUAGACGUGUCCCACCUGGGGUAGCUUCGCCUGACGCAGGGAGGGGCUGGAGGCUCUCCUUCCUGACUGGCUUAAGUCUGGGUCAGCUGUGUGCACCGCAUUGGACCCCGUGUCCCCCAGAAGUGCCCCCCCAGGUUUGCAGGUCACAUCCUGGCCCAGACACUCAGCAGCUGAGCCAGAUGCAGGCUCAGGGCGCUGGGCGCUGCUCUGUCUGCCCCGGGAAUCUGGCGCAGAGCUUGUCCCAUGGAGGGGCGGGGAGGGGCCCAGGAAGGGGCUCUGAUGCACACAGAGGAGUUGAGAGGCGGCAUUACCUCCCAAGUACCAGGGACAAACUUUGGAGGGGGCCUCCAUUCUGCUGAGCAGCCCCAUCAGCAGGGGGGCCCGGGCACCAUGGAGUCCCUGCCCUGCCCAGGCUGCCCUCGCCACCUGGCUGAAACUUGGUGUCCAAUGACUGAAGGAGCAGACCAGGGUCUGGAGGCCCCCAGGGUGUGGGAGCAGGACAUUCAAACCUCCCCAGGCUUCCCUGGGUCAGCGGGGGGGAAGUGGAGGCAGGAGCCAGCAGCCCCCACCCUGGACCAAGGCCUCACCAAGGAGCGUGGACUGGACCCUCCCCCCGCCCCCGGUGGUCCCCAGACCCCCCAGGCUCCCUUCAUGGCAAACGUUUCCAGCCCACUCCUGGAAUUUUCUUUAACCAGUGGUGGGGCAAUGUCCGAUGGCCAAAGCGGCGAAGCACCCACUGCCUCCUGUCCAGGGCAGCGUGCACACGCCCUCCGGGGACCGAGGGAGCACCCCGUCCGUGGCCUGGCCCCACUCAGCUGCAGACCCCACGUGCCGAGGAGUCCCGUGGACCAGAUGCUCUGUCUCCCGGAGGCAGGGGCGCAGGAUCGGGUCGGAUGAGACGAGGCUUUAUAUUUGGGUGGUGGGCUCAGUGCCAGCACCCUACAGACUGGAACUUGCGCCCCCAGAUUCGGGGCCCCGGCCCUGUCUCCAGGGCGUGGUGGAAGGUGGGCUCUUACAUGAAGUCGUGAGGUUGCGGUCCGCGACGUCCCUGCGGUCUGUCUGCAGACCAGGAAGGGGGGGUGCUCCCCAGGAACCGCAUGCAGGGGCCCUGACCUCGGGCUUCCAGCCUCCAGAACCACGGGAAGACCCGUGAGCUGGGGAAGGCCCCGCCUGUGGCGUUGCAGCGGCCGGCCCUGGUGGACUAUGCCCGCAUCCCUCAUACGCUCACCUCCCAUGUCUUGAUCAACUCUGAGCCAGUUCUGGGGAAACCAGUGCAUCAAAGAGACGGGACCCAGCAACCUCGUGGGCCUGUCUGGAGUGAUGGGAGGUCCAUGGUGGAAGGGGCAGGGAGGCCCGGGGGAAAGCAGCACAGGCGUGUGGGGGAGGUGGUGAGAAAAGCAGGAGGAGCAGUCACUCCUGGGCAGGACCUCUAGAUGUCCCAAGGCUUUUAUUUCAAAUGAUCUCUACACCCAACGCAGGGCUCGAACUCCAGCGAGGGAGCCGACUGACACCCCCAAAGAUAGAAGUUAUUUCUUAAGCAGGUUUGGUGGGCAGACAAGUUGCACGGUCGUUGGGAGGGCGCCCCAUGCCCCCUCUCCCCACACGGUGUCCCCGUUACUAAAACCCUGCAUUCGCGGGGGCACGGUUACAAUCGGGGGGCCAGUAUUGGUACGCCGUCAUUGCCUGAAGCCUGUGGCUGACAUGAGGGGUCACCCUUGGUGGUGUACAUUCUGGGGGUUCGGAAGACACGUUGCCCCCCAUGACGGUGUUGCACAGAUGACAGUGAGCUCUGCCUGUUCACCCCCCCCACCGGAGAACCCCGAGAAACCCUGAUCUGUACCGUGUGUCGUUUGUGCCUUUUCCAGAAUGUCCCGGAGUCGGAAUCCUACAGUAUGCAGCCUUUCCUCUACUCAGUCAGAUGCCUUUAAGGUUCCCCACGUCUUUCCAUGGCUUCAUGGCUCCUUUCUCUUCGUCCCAGAUUCAUAGGCCAGGGUCUGGAUGGGCCUCCGUGUAUUUAUCUGUCCACUUCCUGAAGGACAUCUUGGUGGCUUCCAAGUUGGGUCAGUUACGAAUGGCGCGGCUACAGCUAUCAAGAAAGCUGCUGUGAACAUCCUGGGGGCAGGUCUGGUGUGGCCAUAAGCUUUCAGCUCCUUUGGUAAAGAGCAGGGAGCGUGAGUGCUGGAUCGUGUGGCGACAGGAUGUGUCGUCUUGUAAGAAGCCACCAGACUGUCUCCCAGAGUGGCUGCCCCACUGUGCGUCCCCACCAGCCAAAAAAUGAGCGUUCCUGCUGCUCCACGUCCUCACCAGACUGGGGCUGGAUUUGGGCCGUUCCAGCAGCUGCGCACAGGGAGCUUACUACUGUUCUGCUGUGCGUUUCCCCGACGCCGCGUGACACCGUGCGUCUCCGCUGCCGGUCUCUCCACCCAGGUCUUCCGCCCACGUGUAGGUCGGGCUGUUUUCUUCUUCUGGGGUUCUCAGAGCCCGUUGCAUAUUUCGCAUGCAAGUCCUCAUUAAAGCCCUCCUGUACCUGCAGAAGCCCGACCCCAGCAGGACCUCUGCAGACCCUGGCGGCAGCUUGGACGUGAGACACUCCGGCCCGUGUUCCCAGUGCCCGGAACGCUGUCAGUUUGGAUUGAGACAAGUCUGUGCAGCAGGCCCGGGCUGCCGUGCGAGGCUGCUGGGCCUGAGGUGACCGGUGGCUCCCCGGAGCAUCUGUGGCACACGACGAUGCCAUCUGGAGCCUCGGGCUGGGCGCGCAGGGAAGCCACAGCCCAGCACCCUCGGCAUCCCGAGCAGAGCCCCGCCACCCUCUGGGAGCAGCUCCCCGCCCGAGAAACAGACUCUGGCUGGCGUCGGGCCUUGGUGGAGACGGAACGUGUGAGCCUUGCCCUGCACGUCCGUGGGGAGCUUGUCCGACCCACGGAGCACAUGGUGCCGUCCCGCAGAGCUGGGUGGGCAAGGCUCUAUGCCACUGUUGCCCGGAAGGCGCGAAUAUGAGACUGGGCCCAACGCGUGUUCCGACGGCACAAUGAGUACCGUGAAGAAGUGGCUCUAGGCCCAUGGUGCCCGCUCCGGCUACGACCUCGGCCAGUGCGUCUGGCUUCGCAGGAAGUUCCCCACGACCUGAUAUGGAUGGAAAAAUCGGGGCCUGGCUUACAAAUGCUUCCGCAGCAUCUGCAGACACCCUCUGACCGAGCAAGACGCCUGCAGCCCCUCUGAGGGACGGCGGCAACCUGGAGGCCCAGGGGCCGCGGCAGAAACUCAGCAAGCCUCCGCUUGCUCCAUCUUGUAGGCGGAGGGGCCAGAGCACAGGUCUCCACCGAUUCACCACCAGUGGCUAACAGCGCGGCUGAUGGUCAGGGACCUGGAAGGAACGCAACUGGAAACUUGGUAGCAGGACGUGAGGGAAGGAGGCCUGUGGGUCGACUUCAGCACAACGCACAGGAUGGGUAGAUACUGUGACUUGUGUGAACGCCUCCUGGAGAGCUGCCUGCCUCCCCCGAGGACAAGCUCAGGUACCAGGUAGACAGCUUGACCCUCCUGUGGGCAUCAGCCUGCCUCCCUUCCAGCCGCUGUCGUCGGCAAGGGGCUCGUGAGUGAAGGGACCCUAUGUCUCAGCUCUGAUGGGGGUCUUACUCUGCAGACACUGACACCCCAGCACCGUGUGGGGGACCCACCAGCUUCCCUGGGCCAGUGCAUCACACUGCACGGCCUCUGUCAAGGAGGGGGCACCACCCUGGCCUCACGAGUAGAUCCCAACUCCGAGCGUGGGUCCGCUUUCCCUGGCCAUGGCGCUUCUGCCCAAACCCCAGCCGUGGACUUACAGAGUGCUUGCUUCGCAAUCACGGCGUCUCACGGAACUUUCCUUCCCGCCAAGGAGCUCGAGUCACAGCCAGGGGCGUGGGACAAGGGGGCCCUGCUCAUGGGACUUGUCGGUCACUCUGAAGCAGUGGGCCCGAUAGGCCACGACGUGGCAGCUAAUGGGUGGCAAUGCUUUGCAGGGUGGGGACAGCACCUCCAGGGUGCGGGGUCCACUCUGGAUCCACAUGGGCUCUCGUGGCUCCAAUUUGUGGCUGCAGAGACCCCGGGGUUGGAGGGGGAGUGGCUGUGGUCGCUAUUACCUAAUGGAGCCCUCCAGCUGAGAUCGUGCCCUCCCGCCCCCGACUCCAGGCUCCCCUUGAUCGGAAGUCCGAGCGUGCGAGGGAAGGACCCCCAGUGGAGGACACACAGGUAGCCACGAAGCUGGAAGCUGAGACAGCCACCAGGCCACUUUGGGAUCCCUGUGCUGGAGAGCCGAUCCUAUCGCAGGGAGAGGGGUUAUUAUACAACGGGGCUGAGGCGGAGUAUGUCUGGAAUGCAGGCGAUCCCCUGGAGCACCUCAGAUUCCUGGGUUCUGGGACGAAAAUCAAGGGAAAAAUCACAGCCAUUGGCCCUGACCCUCCAGGAAUGAAGGCUCAGGUCCUCCCAUGAGGCCAGGAGCCACGAUCAGCAGAGUCUGUGCGGCGGGAGAGAUCAUGGGAUGGGGUGGAGGAAGGUGCUUACGGCGUGGCUGGGACCCCAUGGCCCGCUGCACAGCCAGGCCCGCAGCAGCGGUCUGUGUUCCUGCCUUACCUCCCAGGACACCGUGGGGUCCGAGUGCAGUCCCUGGAUCUCCUCCUUCACCCCUACGCUUUGGUAUACAGGUGCUCCGUUCAUGUCACCGGACUGGAAGCCUGAUACAUUGUCGUGGGCUGCCACUCGCCUGGACGAGGGCUGGCCCCUCUCCUGGGAGGGGGUGUUCUCAGGACGCGGCCUCAGCUGCGGCUCGCCAGGAAGGAGUGGUGGUGGUUGCCUGGCCCUGGAUAAGCUAAAAGCCACAGAACCGGACACUCUGGAAGAGUGAAUUUCGUGGCAUCUCCCUACAAAUUCUACUCGCCUCAACCUCCCAGACUCUCAUCUCCAGCCCCCGCCCCCAGGAGACCUCCAGGCUCAGCUGAGAAAGCAUGGGGCUCACUGCUGUGCUCCGAGGAUCUGUCCCUGCCUGUCAUCCACGUCGGAAAACAGUUGCCGCACAUGCGUCCCGUGCUCUGGCUGCUCACAGUGGAAGGUGAAUGUGGUGCGAGUCUCGCCAUCAUGGCCAACAGAGGGGCCUGGCCGUGCUGACUUUGAGCACCCAGUUGCAGGUUUCUCCAAAAUGUAAAGUUAAUAUUUUGCCUCUGUCGUUUACAUUUUGUGGGGACAGACCCUGAAACCGUGACUGUUGUCCUCAAACUGCUCCUCACGUGUCCUAGCAUCACGUGGUGAUUGACGCUCAAAUAAUCGUUACCAUGAUGCUUACCGAAGGACCACUCUCCAAUUUCACUGUUCCUCCUGCAUUUAUUAGGUGGAAUUCUGCGAGAGAGAGAGAGAGAGAGAGAGAACGAGCUUCUUCUCCUCUUCCUCCUCCAUGAGUGAGCACGUGGAUUUCAGGACGGACUCCUGAAUCUCUGUUUCAUGCGAUGUGCUGUGACUGUUACUCUCAUUGAUUUUGAUGCCAGAUAGGGCUGGUAGGAGCCCCUUCAAGCUGGCUCCUCAGUCAUUUUGAUAAAUUCCCACAGGCUUUCGAGCACCUUCCUUACUUUCCACUACACGAUGUUCCAGGUUCAUCUUGGACGUUCCCUUCCCCAGCCCUGGAGUCGGCCAUGGCCCCAGGAAGCUCUGGGUCCUUCAAGUGGAGAAUGGUAUUUAAAAGCCAAGAUCCGGAGGCUGGGUGCACAGCGCUAUCUGGGCAUCAGCUCUCCAGGGUGGAUCAGCUGGGAACUCUCUCUCGCACAUCUACUCUCAUGCUCUGCCCAUCCCUGUACAUUACAAAUCACAACUUUACCGCGAUUCCCAUGGCUCGAGCCCAGCACCGCAGGGUCUGUACUAGACUCCCUCGUCCCACAUUUGUCGCUCCUUUCUCUGACCGCGACCCUGGCUUCCAUCAUCCUCAACACAUACACCUCAUUCUUCCCUGUUCACGUAAGUGACCUCCUGACUUUGCUGGCGUGUCCUCGUCCUUGAUCGCCGCCCCACCCCCCAGCCUCCUCUCCCCAGCCUGACUGUCUCAAAGGAAGGGAACCAAUAGAUAUGUUUUAAGCAAAUAAAAAAGAAAGAAACACAAGCCCCUCCCCUGUUCUUUGACCGCCUGGGAGACCCAGACCAGGCCAGGUGUCAGCCCUCCCCACUAUGCGUCACCAAGCGGAGUCGUGUCAUUUCAGGAGGAACGUGAAUUCCCGGGCAGACCUACCAGAAAAGAGAAGCCACGGUCUGACGCUCACGCAGCAUUCGGAGCAGAACUAUGGACACGGAUGGGCCAAGAGGUUCAAGGAAUCCAGACAGAAACCCGCACGCACAAGGGAUGGUGUUUGUGACACGAGGAGGGGAUGAGAAGGCGUAUCCCGGGGGCCGGGGGCCAGCAGCAGGGGUGGGAAACAUGGCCGCAGAGCGACACCGCGAGCAGUCACGUGGCGGCUCGGGCACCUAGGCAGAUGCAUCAGUGAGGUGAGCCGUCCCCUGUGGGGAUCAGGGGUGGUUCAGGAAGCUGAGAGGCACGGGCAGGUGAGCACAGAUAGGCCGAUCGGACAAGAGCACCACACGCGGACAAGAGAGAGGAGAGCAGGAGAUGCUCAAGGAAGGAAAAAAGUAAGGGCCUCAGAAUGAAAGAAACACAAGCAAGGGCUCUCUGGAGCCCAUAGGACAGAUGAGGAGGAAACCACACAUCCUAGUGACACUUUUUUUUUUAAAGAUUUUAUUUAUUUAUUUGACAGAGAUAGAGACAGCCAGAGAGAGAGGGAACACAAGCAGAGGGAGUGGGAGAGGAAGAAGCAGGCUCAUAGCAGAGGAGCCUGACGUGGCUCGAUCCCGUAACGCCGGGAUCACGCCCUGAGCCGAAGGCAGACGCUUAACCGCUGUGCCACCCAGGCGCCCCCAUCCUAGUGACACUUGAAAAUGCCAAAGUUCUGGAACAUUCCAGAGUAACCCACAGACCACCUACAAGAUAAGAAUGAGAUUCGUAACAUUCUCCUCAAGAAUUACAUGAACAAAGAAUUACAUUCUGAAAGCGCAGAAGGUAAAUAACUUGGCGAAGAGGAUUUUAUCGGGUAUAAUUACUAUUUAAAGAUCAUUUCAGAAACAACAAGCCUCAGCAUAUCUAGAAUGUUUGUCACAGAAACACCCGCUUUGCCCACAAAAUUCUCAAACAAGAGAAAUAGAUCUUGGAGGGUGCACGGAGAGCCGUGGAAGGUGGGGAGGGACCAGAUACCCACUCACGAGGCCGCAGUCACCCACAAGAAAACACAGUAAGAUAUACACAAGGUACCACUUACCAUUGUAACAAAAUCAGUAUCUCAAAAUUUCAGUCCUCCCUGUGGAGAAUCCUAGACUCAAACGAGGACCCUGGUCGAUAUUGUUUGGAGUAACAGACAAACAUCUCAUGCGAGGAUGCCUUCAUAGGACAACGGUUCCGAUCUUCCUCAAGUUGACCGAGACGUCCAGUGCAAUCCCGAGCGCAUGGUCAGCUGGGAGUUGGAAAUGCUUGACGUACUUACUCACACUGAUAAUGGAGUAUAGACGUCCACCAGAAGGACUGUCAGCUUGAAACAAAGAACAGCAGAGGGACUUGCCUGCCUGACAUAAGGACUUAAGAGGAAGCCUGAUGUAAAAAUCCCAAACUGCACGGGAUUGCCACAAGAACGAAGACUAAAGCGGACAGCUUGGAGACAAAUGCUUGCAUACAUACAUGUAUCCCAUGCUUAAAAAUACUUCUCUGUUCACGGGAGCCUUUCUGUGAACGGGAAAGCCAUUAAAUGAAAAAAUUUCCCAUUACUUUAGAGACAAAAAUUAUGAUGUGCUCCAUUCCAACCCGAUACCCUCCUCAAGCUUCCACAGAUAAAAUAAUGUGUCAGUUGAGGAAUAAACAUAAAUGUGUACAGAGAACAUACGGAUUUUAAAAAUCAGCUUGUCAAUUUUUACAGAAAAUCCUGGUGGGAUUUUAAUUGGGAUUGUGUUGAAUGUAAUGAUCAACUUGGAGAAAAUUAAUAUCUUAAUAUUGGAUCUUCCAAUCAAUGAAUACCAGGUAUCUGUCCAUUUAUUUAAGUCUUUUACAAUUUCUUCCAUCAGUGUUUUGUAGAUCUCAGUGUGCGGUUUUGAACGUCUUUUGCCAUAUUUAUAUCUAUGUAUUUAAUAUUUUUGAUGUUAUUGUAAGUGGCAUUUUGAAGUUCAUUUCCCAAAUGUUCUUUGCUAGUCCCCUGCAAUACAAUUCAUUGUCUAUAUUGAUCUUGUAUCUUGCAACCUUGCUAAGCUCAUUUUAAUUAGAAUACUGUUUUAGUACAUUUAGUCAGAUUUUCUUCAUAGGUGAUCGUGUUCUCUGUAAGAACGGUUUGCUCUUUCUUUCCAAUCUGGAUGCCUUUUGAUUCUUUUUCUUGCGUUAUUGCUCUGGCUACAACCUACAGAACAAGGUUAUGUAGAAAUUUGAGAAGAGACAUCCUUGUCUGGUCCCUGGUCCUAGAGGGAGGGCAUCCAGUUUGUCAGCAUUAAGUUGGAUGUCCUUUAUCAGGUUGAGAAAAGUUCCUUUGAUUCCUAGUUUGUUCGGAUUUUGAUCAUGAAUGACUUGGAUUUUGUCCGAUGAUUUUCCUGUAUCUAUUGAGAUAACGAUGUGGUUUUUCUUUUUAAAUUUAAUGUUGUCAAUUAAUUGAGUUGAUUUUUUGAAUGUUAAACUGCGUUCCUAGAAUAAACCCCACUGUAUA